GGAGGUUACAGUGAUGAAUUACAGCUCCCUCUUCUGAUUUAAAGUUGAGGAAACUAGCUGGCAGAAUCGAACCAAUUUAAUUAACGCCACCACUGAGUAA
rfam:Populus trichocarpa scaffold_15_contig_159, whole genome shotgun sequence.